rnacentral:rRNA from 1 species
GACAGAGGGUGCAAACGUUGUUCGGAAUUACUGGGCGUAAAGCGUGUGUAGGCGGCUGCGCAAGUCGGAUGUGAAAGUCCAGGGCUCAACCCUGGAAGCCGGCCGAUACUGUCGGACUAGAGUCCGGAAGAGGCAAGUGGAAUUCCCGGUGUAGCGGUGAAAUGCGCAGAUAUCGGGAGGAACACCAAUUGCGAAGGCAGCUUGCUGGGACGGUACUGACGCUGAGGCGCGAAAGCGUGGGGAGCAAACAGG